rnacentral:rRNA from 1 species
UGGGGAAUCUUCCGCAAUGGACGAAAGUCUGACGGAGCAACGCCGCGUGAGUGAUGACGGCCUUCGGGUUGUAAAGCUCUGUUAAUCGGGACGAAUGGUUCUUGUGCGAAUAGUGCAAGGAUUUGACGGUACCGGAAUAGAAAGCCACGGCUAACUACGUGCCAGCAGCCGCGGUAAUACGUAGGUGGCAAGCGUUGUCCGGAAUUAUUGGGCGUAAAGCGCGCGCAGGCGGAUUGGUCAGUCUGUUUUAAAAGUUCGGGGCUUAACCCCGGAAUUGGAUGGGAACUGGCAAUGUAGGGUAACGGGAAGGAAAGUGGAAUUUCCUGGGGAGCGGUGAAAUGCGGUGGUAAUAGGAAGGACACCAGUGGCGAAGGCGGCUUUCUGGACGAAAACCGACGCUGAGGCGCGAAAGGCAGGGGAGCGAACGGG